CCCCGAUUCCCCUCUCUCACGCGAGCUCCAUGGCCACAAGGCCCACAACGUUGCCGCCGCCCCCGAAUCCGGGCAGUUCCGGCGCAGUUCCGUGCCGCUGCUCACCGGCCCCCUCCCCCUCACUGUUCUUCUCCUAUCUUCCGCCGCCUUAACGUCGUCCCCGCCCCUGCACGCGCCCCCGCAGCAACCCUAGUGGCCACGGGUCGCUGGUGCGGCUCCCCUGCCUCUGGUUUAUCUGCCAACUACCCCUGCGUCUCCGCACCUAUGGCUGCCAACUCGGGCUCAACGGUGCUGCUCCGCCUCGGUCACCUCGACUCUGACGUCGACAGUCCUAACCACGAUCACAUGCUUGAUCCACUGCAUCACUCAAUGGUCAUGAGCUCCACUGUCCUCAUCUGCAGAGUGAAAUAUGACCACCUAGGGAUAGCCGUUGUGCCAUUGUAGAUCACAGGUGGACAACAACCAUCAUGGUGAUUGGUGAGCAACCUUGUUGGAGCCUCAAGGCCCAAAAUUCCACUUCACCUUUCUAGGUAUUUCAGUUUUGGGCUUGCAUAUUUCAGUUUGUCAUCUAGUUCUGCCCAUGUAAGAGUUGUUUCUAGCUGGGUAUGUGUUAAUCCAGGAAGAAUAUUUCCAUCUCUUUUCCUAAAUAAUUCUUUCUUGUGAUGAAUUAGGUUUGAUUCUCUUUCUGCUAUGUGUGUGGAUAAUUAGUUAUAUUUUCGUGAAGAUUUUCAUGGCAGAUCAAGUAAAUAAGCUGUGAUGGUAUCUCUGGAUAUCCUAGCUGUGACCCUGUGACCAAGUCAUGAAAGAAGAUUCCUUCAAGUAUUAGUUAAUAGGUUCUAAAGUGACUUUGCUUCAGGUAACAUGCUUGUGUUUGUUGUUUCUCUUAACAGGUAAAUCUUCGAGACUUGUGAAUAUUGCAAAUAGGAAAUAUAUAAAUCAAUAAGUUCACAGAAUAUGCCUUAGGAAUGAACUCAGAGCUUUGGCUUUAUUAAAUGGAAUCUUCGCAAGUUGAUGAUUGCGCCACACCACUCUUUUAAAUAAAUUAAGUUCUUUAAAAAUGCAAUGUUUUUAUCUGUUUAUUUUCGUAUUCUAUAGUUGAAUUUUCAAUGGAAGACUAGCAUACGUGUUAUCUAGCUUGAUAUUCUUGGCUGAUGUAAGAUAAAGCAUUCAGAUCCAUAUUUUGUACAAUUCUAUACACCAUAAUCCAGAAUAUUAUACAAAAUCUUAGGAUGGAUACAGUUCUUGUAUUCAUGUGUUAUACAAGAUAAAUCAUUACAGAAUUUGAAUGCAAGAAUAUUCUAACUUUUGUUUACAUGAAUCACAACUAUGAACAUGCAGAGACAUGAAAAAUAUUUUGAAUUAUCAAAUAUGAAGUCGUUUUAUGCAUUUAUUUUAGUUUCAGUUUCAGCUACAUCCGAUUUCCCAAGCUUUCUGUACCUAUUUGUAUUGUUUGAUCAGUCAUUUGUCAAUCGCCGACCACUCGACCUACCUUAAGCUGCACCAAAGGCGUGCCACCGCAUAGGUAAGCUUCUCUCUCGCGCCCUCUACAUUUGCAUACUUUACCUUGCUUUGGUGAAUCUGAAAGAUGAUGACUACUACUAUUGACAAAAGGGAAAGAUCAGGAAAAUUUUGAGAGUUGAAAACACACCUCUUCCUCUGAUGGAUGCUUCCAACUACUAGAACUAGAUGGUUCCUAUAUUGAGUUCACCCACUAACCUGCUAGAAAAAGAAAUGUCAUUUUAGCAUUCUUAAAUAGGAAAACAUACAUUGCAUGUACUUAUAAGUUGUAACAUGACAGAAAAUUUAAACAAUAUUGUGUAAACUACUAUGGAGGUCAGAUUUAUAUCAUUAUUUGCCAGGCUUGGUGACUCAUGUCAGUUUUUUGUUGUUGUAGAUUGCAAGACAAAUAGAUGGUCCAUGGCUAAGCUGUUGAUUGCAAGAUAAAUAGAUGGCGCAUGGCUAAUUUGUUGAUUGCAAGGCGGAGAAUGGGGCAACUACCAGAUAGUUCUACAUUAAUGUUAAGAGUGUUACUUUCAUGGUCAAUGUAUAGAAAAUCAUGUAUAUAUUCCCUGGAUCGUGUUCCAUGUAUUGCAAACGAGUUGAUUUAAUAUAUGAGAUCUUUCUGUUUACCGGAUUGCUA